AGUGAACGCUGGCGGUAGGCCUAACACAUGCAAGUCGAACGGCAGCACAGUAAGAGCUUGCUCUUACGGGUGGCGAGUGGCGGACGGGUGGGGAAUACAUCGGAAUCUACUUUUUCGUGGGGGAUAACGUAGGGAAACUUACGCUAAUACCGCAUACGACCUACGGGUGAAAGCAGGGGAUCUUCGGACCUUGCGCGAUUGAAUGAGCCGAUGUCGGAUUAGCUAGUUGGCGGGGUAAAGGCCCACCAAGGCGACGAUCCGUAGCUGGUCUGAGAGGAUGAUCAGCCACACUGGAACUGAGACACGGUCCAGACUCCUACGGGAGGCAGCAGUGGGGAAUAUUGGACAAAGGGCGCAAGCCUGAUCCAGCCAUACCGCGUGGGUGAAGAAGGCCUUCGGGUUGUAAAGCCCUUUUGUUGGGAAAGAAAAGCAGCAGGUUAAUACCCCGCUGUUCUGACGGUACCCAAAGAAUAAGCACCGGCUAACUUCGCG
rnacentral:rRNA from 1 species